AUUGAACGUUGGCGGCAUGCCUUACACAUGCAAGUCGAACGGUAACAGGUCUUCGGAUGCUGACGAGUGGCGAACGGGAGAGUAAUACAUCGGAACGUGCCUAGUAGUGGGGGAUAACUACUCGAAAGAGUGGCUAAUACCGCAUGAGAUCUACGGAUGAAAGCAGGGGAUCGCAAGACCUUGUGCUACUAGAGCGGCCGAUGGCAGAUUAGGUAGUUGGUGGGAUAAAAGCUUACCAAGCCGACGAUCUGUAGCUGGUCUGAGAGGACGAGCAGCCACGCGGGGACUGUGACACGGCCGAGACGCCUACGGGAGGGAGCAGUGGGGAAUGUUUGACAAAGGGCGCAAGCCUGAUGCAGCAAUGCUGGGUGCAGGAUGAAGGCGUUCGAGUUGUAAACGGCUUUUGUACGGAACGAAAAGCCCUGGGUUAAUACCCUGGGGUCAUGACGGUACCGUAAGAAUAAGCACCGGCUAACUACGUGCCAGAAGCCGCCGUAAGAC
rnacentral:rRNA from 1 species